CCGGAAAGACUUCUACCCAGGGGCAUUAUGUUUUAGGAAGAGCGGCGAAGUAUUACUGAUGCUUUGUGGAGAUAGGGAAGAAUUUUCCGGUGAUGAUGAUAACUUUGAUAAUUACUACAUAAAAUCAAAACUGUUGCUGCCACGUAGUGAGUUUUAUGCAUUCAUAUUAGAGUCUUAUUUGCUGCUGUAAAUUGUAAUAUAUAUGGAAUUGUUCAACAGUUUGUGCAGUGAAUUUCUUUUCCAAUGCUUUUCAUGAACAGGGUACUUAAUUUUCUAAUUAGUCUUCAUUUACGUAAAGCAUGAAGAGGAAGUUAUAUUUGCACUAACAGUGGUUUUUAUUCGUUUUCUUUCAUGACAGACUCGUAGGGCUGCAACUUCCUUUUCCUCAAGUGCCUGGAAUGCUGGUGCCUUUUGUUGACAUGGAACUUCUUAUCCCAAGUGCUGAUAUAUUUUCUCGACUAGUUUUUAGGACAAUUAUUAACUUAGUUUUUGACCUAUGGAAGUAUGCACCUGUUACAUAUUUGAAUUGGUUAUGCAGUUCUAAACUAGCGAAUGAUUUUGCAAAUUUUUUCCCUCAACAAUUAACAGUAUUUGCAUUUGAUAUGAUUCCCUUCACAUUCGAUAUGUCAUUGCGUCCAUAUUCUCAAUUCACUGAGGCCAAAAAUAAACCAAGCAUGACCAAGUUGCCAUAAAUAAAAAAAGGUAUCAAAUAUCAAAGAUUUAAUACUGAAUCUACAUCUUUAAAACAUAACCUAAAAAAAUAUCUUAAAAUGUUUGGGGAUAAGAAGAAAUGUGACAAAUUUUAUAGAUAAACUGAUGGCAAAAACCAAAUUGGAGAUUGCUUCAACUUCUUCAUCAGGGUCAUAAUAUGUGCAGGCUUUAAAAUCCUUUGACUUUUGACAUUGUACACCCCAAAAUCUGUAAACGAACAAUAUUCUAAUGACAGAUCACAAUCAUCGUAGAAGUAUAUGCAAUUCGACUCACAUCCUUGAAUUUUUGAAGCCACGACAGAUAUUGAAGAGUUAUCACCCACAAACAAAGCAAAAUCACCUAAGUCAUUUUUCUCAAUCCACGCAUACUUAUCAUCAUCCAGUUUGAAAACUCUAAAUCCAUUUGUCACGCGACCAUGAUGUGUAUAAGUAUCAUAGCGGUGAACCAACAAUAACUCUUCCUCAUUGGAACCCACAAGGUAUGCCUUUAUGUAUAUGUCUGUUUCAUAAAGAGGUGCCGCCACCAGAUUUAUAUUUAGGAUGCGCUGAGUAGUAUAUUCAAGAAUAAAAAGUUGUCUCUUAAAGGAUGUAAGAACAUAACUUUUAUCCCCAAUUUGAGCAAUAUCUUCAAAAAUGGAACAACUUCGAUCGAAGUAUGUCCAUUUAUUGUCUCCAAGUCUAAUAAAAGCCAAUUCACACCUUGCGCCAUAUAUUACCACAACAAUGCAGUCAUUUGCAUUUGAUAUUGGAUCUGCGGAAAUCGCCGACUUGUAGACAAAAUAUUCACAAUGUUUAGCACAAGCUCCUGUGUGGUGUUUACCUGGAGGAUUUAGUGGAGGUAGACGAAUAAUUGAAUUUUUUUUCUUUUUUCUUCCUUUAACCCUGAAUGAUGGAUUUAUUAAGGUUACCACAAAAUUUUCAUCGCAAACUAUUAACCAUCCUUUUGAAGACCCACAAAAUCGCCUCUUCAUCCAUUUUAACUGCAUUUUGAGGACCUUAUCAUUUGUCACAUCACAAAAAUUCCAUGUAUUUUUUUGUCUAUCAGGAAUUAAGAGCAUUGGAACACUAUUGAUUUGGUUAUUCUUUGAUACCCAAUUCCAUGACUUGCAAACAGCAGCGAAUCGUAAAGAAUCUAAAUGUAACACUAGUCUCUUGAAAACUAAAUCUAAAAGUUCAUCAGGCAAACUUUCCCAAUCUGAAAAUAAAAAAGAAAAAAAAAAUCAAUUAGAGAUGCGAUGAAGAAGAAGCAGAUGUGUAAUUAAUCUUGGCCAUAGCUUUAUAAAAAUAACCGUAUGAUUUGAAACAUAGAAAGUAAAAAUUGAUGGAACGAUACAAAGAUAUAAAUUAAAAAAGAAAACCAGUAAAAAAGAAUUUCAAACUAAAAGGUGCAUUAAUUCCUGUUUUUCUUUUAUUAGAAGAUAGGCAUGUUACAACUAAAAAACAAUCAAAUUACAGAAGCAAAUGGAGAACAAAAAAUCUAAAGACAAAUCUAGAAGGAUGUAACCUUACACACACAGUGAUAUAAAACAAUAUAUAUAAAUAAACAACAUCCUAAAAACUGAUUGAAAUAAAACUAAUUAAGGUGGCCGCUUAGGGUGUUUUAGGGCGUGUCUUUCAUGCAAAGGAUCCAUUAGUGUACUAGUUUGGAGUAAUUGCUCUCCCAGACAAGUUCAUGAGUUUGAUUAUGAAAAGUCCUAAAAAAAAAAGGGUGUGUCAUUCACUAGUUGACAAAAAUGAAAGGAUUCCCCACGUAUAUUGUAUGAUAGGAUUAUAUAACAUGUGUAGCCAAAAAUUCAACUCAACUGAGUAUUAGAUUAGAGUCAUGCUUUUCUCUUUUUCCUUAUUUUCCUUAAUUUAGGAUAUAAUUUUUUGUUUUAUUUCACCAAAUAUUCAUCAAAUUUAUAGGAGUAGGACACAUGAAUUGUCUAGAAAUUUUUGCAAUAGCAAGAUACAAUAUGAAAGGCUCGCAUAUUUACAAUACUAAAUAUAGCAUGACAACAACUUGCAAACAAACAAAUUUACAAAGUUAAGGAAAGGAAAACACGAGUGUAACCUAGAGAAGUUUUGUUUAAGAAAACAUACCUGAUUCCAUUGAUUCCAAACACAGACGAGAUUUUUUUGGUGGCUUUGAAUUGAAUGUAAAGCAAUUGACUAUAGAAAGAAAAGAACCCCUUAUUUAUAUACAAGUGCUCCUAAUUCCUAAUAAGAAUAGGAGGAAAUACAAGAGUUUUAUCGUAAUUCCUUAUAAGAAUAGGAGGAAUUGCAAGAGUUUUAUCUUUCACAUUCAAGGCCCAAAAGAAAAUAGUCAAACAAACGACGGCCCACAAAACAAAAGUGAUUUGGGUCAGUUGAUGAAUAAGGCUAAAUAAGUACAAUUGACUUUUCGUUUGUCAAUUGUACAUCUGUUUCUGUUCCUUCAAGUUCGAACUUACGGUAGUCCCGUCUGCAGGGGAACGACGCCAAUUACAUGCUUAGCGGGAAGCCCGUUUCAAACCCACAACCGAAAAAACACAUAAAUUCGUGUCACUCUCUAACGCUCUCUUCCCGCGAGAUAAUCUCCCCCAGCAACCCCCCCUCUCUCUCUCUCUCUCUCUCAAUCCCAUGACGAAUCCGAAUCCGAAUCCGAAUCUAAAACCGAACUGUUUUCUCCCCCAUGUCGAGCUCUCCUCCACCUUCUUCAAAGCCACCCCUGAUUUCCGACCCCGACGGCAAAUUAGACUCCGCAACGACGUCGUCCGUGUCCUCUCCAACUCAACCCUCUCCCUCCAGAGCUAAGCUCCUCAAAAUCCCCCCCAUCCCGAUUCGACGAAGCCCCAGACACACGAUCCACGAAGACGAAGAAUUUGAAGAAUUCGAAGAAGAAGACGACGACGACGACGAAGAGUAUGAGGACCAGGUUCGUACGGAACGUAAAACAGAUGAUGCGCCUAUCGUGUUGGCAUCGUCGCUCGGCCUCAAUCACAUUCGGACUCGAUCGGCUCCGUCCCCGCUUCGAUUCUCUUCGUCGGUCUGCUCGGCUUCGAAUUUCGGUGACGAAUCGAAUAAGGUCAAGUACACGGUCAAGCCAAAACCCAAAUUUACGCCCAUACAACCAGGUAUUUACGUAACUUUAAUGUGGUAACGUUUUAAUAUUCUUAUUUUAUUGGAUUAUAAUUCGUUCUUUUCCGUCUAAUAAUGAAUUCGAUCAUCAGGUAUUUGUGAGUGUAAUUUAUUUUUUGUUAAUUUCUAAUUUUCAAUUUCUUUAUAGUGAAACCUGUGCACUGGAAUCAAUCAAAAUCGCUCAGAAAUCCUUCACUACUCAAUCCAGUCUCGGAGGUAAAGAAAUUGCCAAUGAAUUGCAUUAUGUAUAUAUAUAUAUAUGAAGUUGGUUGGAGAAAUGCAGGUAGCUCACGAGCUUGACAAUGAUGUGGUUUGUAUGUAAUUGUAUAUAUUGGUAGGGUAACCAUGCAGCCUUUUCAAAGGAAAUGCAGUCGCCGCGUUUUCAGGCAAUACUGCGUCUUACGAGUGGGCGAAAGAAGAGAACACAUGACAUUAAAAGUUUCUCUCAUGAGCUCAACUCUAAAGGAGUUCGACCAUUUCCCGUGUGGAAGUCUCGCGCAUUUGGCCAUAUGGAGGUAAAUUUGAAUUUUUAUUAUAAAUUUUUAUGCCUUAUAGUAUUUUAUUUUAUUCUUUGCCCGAUCUCAUUAAACUGUGUCGCUGUUGUAAAAUUGUUUAGGAGAUUAUGGUGGCGGUCAGGGCAAGAUUUGAGAGGUUAAAGGAAGAUGUUGACUUUGAUUUAGGUGCAUUUGCUGGUGAUUUGGUGGGAAUACUUGAAAAGUCUUCGGAGUCUCACCCUGAAUGGAAAGAGAAUUUUGAGGACUUGUUGGUUGUUGCCCGGCGGUGUGCAAAGAUGUCGCCUGGUGAAUUUUGGGUGAAGUGCGAAGCCAUUGUUCAGAAAUUGGAUGACCGGCGUCAAGAGCUACCAAUGGGGGCCCUCAAACAAGCCCACACCCGUCUUCUUUUUAUUCUCACUCGGUGCACACGGCUUGUGCAGUUCCAAAAAGAGAGUGGUUAUGAGGAAGAGCACAUUCUCAGUCUUCACCAGCUCAGUGAUCUUGGUGUUUACCCUGAACAAAUUUUGGAGGGUGCACAGCAGAGCUUUAGUGGCCAACUGGGUGGUAAGGAUGCAAAUGAGAAGCACAUGAAUAAGUCCCAUGAGCAGGAAAAAGUUAGUGCUGCUGAUGAUGUGGAGGUUGACACUGCCAAAAGCGUUGAAUCUACAGGCAGCUAUAGGAUGUCAUCUUGGAAAAAACUUCCAUCUGCUGCUGAGAAGAAUCAGAAAGGCCAUGAUGCUGCUGAUACAGCGCCAAACGACAAAUCAGACCGUUUGCAUGCCAAAGAUGACACAAAAACUUGUGGGGAGUAUAGUAGUGACAAUGUGGAUACUCCAUCAUGCCGACCUGAACCCCCAGAGGUGUCUGCAAGUGCACAAAGAAUCUCUUGGGGAUUAUGGAUGGAUCAGCAGAAUGUUUCAUACGAGAAUUUGAUGAUCUGUCGCAUAUGUGAGGUGGAAAUACCAACUGUACAUGUAGAGGAGCACUCCCGAAUAUGUACGAUUGCUGAUAGGUGUGACUUGAAGGGUUUAACUGUGAUGAUCGACUUGAAAGAGUUGCUGAAGCUCUUGAAAGGAUAAUGGAAUCUUGGACACUAAAAGGCACUGAUACUCGAGGAAGUUUUGAUGUUUCAGGAGUAUAUACAACAAGGAUGCAUGAAGAUUUAGAUGAGUUGUCACCACCAAAACGAAAUGACUUGUCUCCUCGUUUCUCUGAAGGCAUUCUUGAUUGCGUUCCUGAUGCUGACAAUUCUUUUGUCAUGGAAGAUCUGAAUGUUUUGCCUGACAUGCCAUGUGACAUGCGUUCUUCUUUGACACCUGAACAAGGCACCAGAACCUCGUCGGCAGGAAGCUCGACACCAAGAUCACCACUAUUAACACCAAGAACCAGUCAGAUUGAAAUGCUGUUGAGUGGAUGGAGAGCAAUACCAGAACUUGAGAGUUAUCAGCAGGUGACCCACUUCUAUUUUCCUUCUGACCAGAAUUCUGCCGUUACUUCUUUUUCUCUCAAAGAUGAAGUCAGUAUACUUUGUUUUAAGUUCGUAUUAUUGCUCUGCAACUGAAACUCUUGUUGAAUGCAUUUUUGGUUCAUCUUGGUUGCUAUAGACACUCUGCUCCCUUCAUGUUCAUAUUUUGAUUAGAGCAUGGAUUGACAGAUUCAUAAGCUACUGGAUAUCGCCCGUUCCAUCGCAAAUGUUAGCAAUUGUGAAUACAGUGCAUUGGAGUACAUGCUUGAACGACUGGAAGACCUAAAAUAUGCCAUCCAGGAUAGGAAGGUCGAUGCCCUUGUUGUGGAGACUUUUGGAAGGCGUAUAGAAAAAUUAUUGCAGUGAGUGGAAGCCAUAAUUUAUUACUGCACGUCUCUUGUGGUUUGUACAAUUGUGAAUCCCCUCAAAAGAUUUUCUUGAUUCGAGCAUUAACAAAAUUGUCUCAUUUUUAUCUUCUGUCGUCAUUAUAUUUUUCAUAUUUCUUCAAAUGAUUGGUUAAUUAUUUAAAAUCCAGUAAAAGCAUCUCUGAUUAUAAUGAUAAUUCUGAAAUUUACAGGGAAAAAUAUGUACAUCUUUGUGGGCAGAUAGAAGAUGAGAAAGUGGAUCCAUCAAAUGGUAUGGCUGACGAAGAAAGUUCAGUUGAAGAUGAAGCAGUUCGUAGUCUGCGUGCCAGCCCCAUCAAUCCGUGUUCAAAGGAUCGAACAUCUAUUGAAGAUUUUGAAAUAAUAAAACCAAUAAGCAGGGGUGCAUUUGGGCGAGUUUUUCUUGCCAGAAAAAGAGCGACUGGUGACUUAUUUGCUAUAAAGGUCUGUUUGUUUCUAUGUGUUUUCAGCCAUGGAAAAUGCUUCCAUCUUUUAAUUGCAAGUAAAUGUUUCAAGAUAAGUCGGUUCUCAGAACUGAUUCUGGUGGUACAUUUCUGAAGGUAUUAAAGAAGGCUGAUAUGAUUCGUAAAAAUGCUGUUGAAAGUAUUUUGGCGGAGCGUAACAUCCUUAUAUUGCUUCGCAAUCCUUUUGUGGUGAGUGGGCCCCCAAAAUGUACAGUUCACUUUAAGAAUGCAUUGCAUUUGGAAAUAAUUUCUAAUACGUGCUUCUGAUGAUGAGCAGGUCCGAUUUUUCUAUUCGUUCACAUGCAGGGAAAACCUGUAUCUGGUCAUGGAAUACUUAAAUGGUGGAGAUCUGUACUCUUUACUACGAAAUCUAGGCUGCUUAGAUGAAGAUAUGGCCAAAGUAUAUAUUGCAGAAGUUGUAAGGGAAUACUAGUAUCUUUUGUUCCAUUUUCCUCUCCAGAUUCACCUUUUCAUUUCUCUUUCUCUAAAUUUUUUCUCAUAGAUGGUAUAACAGUACAAGUAAUCUUUUGUUUACUCUUUUCUUUUUAAAGGUUCUUGCUUUGGAGUAUUUGCAUUCAUUAAAUGUUGUCCAUAGAGACUUGAAGCCAGACAACCUGUUGAUUGGUCAAGAUGGUCACAUCAAGGUCAAUAUUUUGCGGUCUUAGUUCUUUUACAUAAUUCCCUCCCUCUUUUAUAUAAUUGGAGAUAAGUUUGGCCAUAGUAAAAGCAUUCUGGUAUUAUAUCAUGCAUCUGUUUUUUUUGGGUAUCAUCUGCAUAGGUUCUGCCAUAAAGUGUUUACUUGUCACUUCUCACAAAUGUCUAAUCCCUUAUGUUACAGUUGACAGAUUUUGGGCUCUCCAAGGUUGGUCUAAUCAGCAGCACUGAUGACUUAUCAGGUCCAUCAGUUAGUGAUACUGGUUUUCUUCGAGAUGAUGAACCAAAAACUCAGCCUUCAUCAGAAAGGACACAGCGCCAGAAACAUUCAGUUGUUGGCACCCCUGAUUAUUUGGCACCUGAAAUACUUCUUGGCAUGGGGCAUAGUGCAACUGCUGAUUGGUGGUCUGUGGGCGUUAUUCUUUUUGAGCUGCUUGUUGGUCUUCCACCGUUCAAUGCAGAGCAUCCACAGGUAUGCAGUCUAACUAUGGUGGGCAUUAAUUUAAAUUGUUUUUGGACUGCUGGGCGUAUUUUGUUUUUUUUCUUUUCCCUCUUUAUUGAAUGUAAUCAUCUUCUGUCAUAACAAAAAACAGGUCCUUACUUAAGGAACUUAAGAGAGGAUUUUGUGUAUAUAUAUGCAUAAAUUCUAUAUACACUCUUCAGUAAACUCGUGAAUAUCUUAUGAGCAUUAAUCUUUCUCCUCAUUUUCAUUGGCACAACAGUUUGUUCUUCUGAUAUUUUGUUCCUAAAAUUUUUCUGGUGGUUCUUUUUGGACUGUUCAUGAAGGAUUAAGUUCUUUUUCUGGUGGUUCUUACAGCCUGUUCGUUCAACUCUUCACCAAAAUUUUAUUGAAUUUAUCAUUUAUUGGUUUUACAUUUCGUUGUAUAUUUUCUGCACUACAGUAUUUCUCUAUUGCUCUUAUUUCUACUUAACAUUGCUCCAAGUCUUUUAUAGCAUCCUUAACAUCUGAAUGAUUUUUUCUGAUCCUUAUAACCGGGAAUUGUAACAUCUUUUAAUGCCAGAUCAUUUGAGAGUCUUGGGUGAAAAAUUUGACACUGUUACUUAUAGAUGCUACUUAUUGCAGCAAAUUUUCAACAAUAUAAUAAACAGAGAUAUUCCCUGGCCUAAGGUACCUGAGGAGAUGAGCUAUGAAGCAUACGAUUUGAUUGACAAGUAAGAAAGAUUACAAGAGAUAUGUUUCUGGAUGUAUUAAUUACAAUUUUAUUGUGACUGCUUAUGUAGAUCUCUAAUGUGCCUCUAUUUUUCAAGAGAGGUCUGUCAGACUAAGAUAUCUAAAGUCCUCUCAUUUAGAAUUUGAAGACAGCAUGCCUUCAUCUUACUUACAUUUCCUUUGGCCUCCUGUCAGAUUGAUGACCGAAAACCCAGUUCAAAGACUUGGAGCAACAGGUUCCAGGGAGGUAAUUUAUUGACUACCGAUGAAAAUUCAUUUGUAAGUCAGAAUGAAGAGGUCCCUUUGAUCCAUUAAGGUUUGAGCCGACGCGAUUUUCUUAUCUCGCCAUCAUGUACGGAAACAAAUGCCCUAGAAGCUAGAAAAGGGUUCUUCUCCUUCACUCUUCUUCUCUAACACAGCACCAGAACGAGACGCUUCGUCAGCUCCAUUUCUUCUGCUUUUCUCAUCAGGUUCCUCAAGUUUUUCUUUUAUUUUUCCCGGAUUUUUUAGAGGUUUUUUUUUUCCUGAUAUGAAUGGUGGAUUUUUAUUUUUUAUUUUUUAUUUUUAGUUGAUGGAUUUGGAUUUUUCAUUUAUAGAGUUGAGACUGGGUAUCAUUUCAUCUGAAAACUACGACGUUUAGGGUUCUUAAUGCUCCUUGUUACUGGAUCUUUUUAAUUUUAUGUAUAUGAAUUUUACUCUGCUUAAGAACAGCUCUCUUGAUAUUUGACCCCAAAAACAAACAGCUCUCUUGAUAUUUCUUUUUCUUAAUUAUAGCUUUUUUUUGUAUCAAUUGUUUUUUCUCAUUUAGUGUAACUAUUUGAAUGUGCAAGACAUGGAUAACAUACAAGAUAUCGCACAAGGGAUGCAGGAAUUUAAAAUUGAAGCGAUCUCAUGCACUUUUCCCCAGGAAAUCAUACAAGAGAUCCUACUUAGGCUAACCGUCAAAUCUGUUAUCAAAUGCAUCUCAGUGUGCAAGACAUGGAGGUCCAUGAUCAUAAACCAAAGCUUUAUUCGCACCCACCUCAACCCAACAGUUCAUGUUAAUAACCUGAACGCCAGUCACCUAUUCCUAAUCCACAGGGUUGCUGGUAAGAGGAGCGUCACUAUGUUCCACAAAGCCCUUGUUGAAGAUGUACUGGAAGAGGUUUAUUCUCUGCAUUAUGAUAACAAGGCUUUUGACGAGUACUCCAAGAUAGAAUUUCCAAUUGCUCCAAAGCAAGAACUGUACAAUCGACAUCUUCGUGUGGUCGGCACUUGUAACGGGCUAAUCUGCUUUGCGGAUGAUAUCUUCCGUUAUGGUUACGAUAUCUUUAUAUGGAACCCAGCCAUUAGAAAGUUAGUGACCCUUCCCUGGCCUGGUGUUACCUAUAUGACACAUGGUGGAUACGAUGCUUCUAUUGGGUUUGGUUUUGAUGCUAAUACCAAUGACUAUAAGGUUGUGAGACUUGUUACUUAUGUCAUACUCUUUCAUCACCCAUAGAUCAAGAAAACGGUCUUCACAUUGGAAAAUCCAUUGCUCUGUUCUCAAUGGAUAACAGAUGUGAAAACCGUUUUCUUGAUAUAUGGGUGAUGAAAGAGUAUGAACUCUUCGGCACUGACAUCUCACAAAAUAACUUACUGCUCACGUCAAAUGUCAAUAUAAAAUAUUCAUUGCCAUAAUGAGCGGCGAAGUAUUACUGAUGCUUUGUGGAGAUAGGGAAGAAUUUUCCGAUGAUGAUGAUAACUUUGAUAAUUACUACAUAAAAUCAAAGCAUGAGUUUGUAUCACUAGACCUUGUGAACAAAACCGUUGAAAAUCUUGGUGUUCCUGGAGAAGGAUAUCAAUAUUGCACCGUUGAUUCUUUCAAAGAGGUCCUUGUCUUACUCGACCAGACAGAUGCAGUUUCCUACUAAG
rnacentral:lncRNA from 1 species